CAUAUAGCCCAGGCCGGAAUGCACAGGAACACACAAACAGGGCAACAGUAAGACACAGACACACAAAUAGGGAGAGAGAAUGGUGAGGGAGAAAAAGAGAGAAAGACUUUAUAUUAGUCACAUCAAGCAAAUGCUCACAAUUAAAUCUAUGACUGUGUUUUAGGAAUUAAGCUAAUUUAGUCAGGCAUGUUAAUUUUAAUCGUCUACUAAAAUAAGUAUAUGUUGGCAGAAACGUUAGGUUUUUAAAUAAUUGGUAAGAGAGAGAUUAAAAUGAACAUCUGCAAACAAAUUCACCACUGUAUGGGAUUUAACAGAGAAUUUUACACAUCCAUCCAUUUUCCAAACUGCUUGUCCAAUGCCCAUUUCCUCCACCCUAACUCCUCCUCCACAUUUACACUACAGUUCAAAAGUUUGGGAGCGAUUUUUCAAUGUUUUUGAAAGUCUCUCCAAGGGUGCAUUUAUUUGAUCAAAUACAGAAAAAACAGUGUUAAUUAUGUGUUAUUAUAAAAUGUAAUUUUUCCUGGAAUGGCAAAGCUGAAUUUUCAGCACCAUUACUAAAGUCUUCAGUGUCACACAAUCUUUCAGAAAUCAUUCUAAUAUGUUGAUUUGCUGCUCAAGAAACAUUUAUUAUUAUUAGCAAUGGCAAAAACAGUUGCUUAAUAUAUUUGUGGAAACCAUGAUACAUUUUUUUCAGGAUUCUUUGAUGAAUGGAAAGCAUUCAUUUGAAAUUGAAAACUUUUGUAACAUCUGUAAAUGGUAUUACUGUUACUUUUCAUUUAAUUGAAUGCAUCAUUGCUGAAUAAAAGUAUUUAAAAAAUCUUACAGACCCCAAACUUUUAAAGGUAGUGUAUAAUGAUUUUAUAAUAAUUUCAGAUAUGUUCUAAUUUGUUUUGACUGUAUCAAGCAGUUUCCGCAUAUUCAUUGUGGACGAACAAAGCACUUUCUGCUGGAAGCUCAUGUCAGGGUUUUGUCACUCUCGUUGGUCUUAGUUUGGUGACAGAAGCCUGACACUCAUGUAUCGUCUUGUCUUUGUGUGUUGUGUUUGGGCUGUGUGCUCUCUCAUCUGUGUCAUGUGGAGAUUGGUGUCUGGAUCCCUGUCUAGAUCAGUUUUGGUUCAGUGUCGAGGUCCGGACAGUCAUGCUCCAUGUUUUGUCUUUUGUUGUGAGCAAACAGGUUGAGUGUUCAUUCCCUCACUAUCCUUACAGGUUACAAUGAAGACUAUCCAGUGUUAUUAGGCAUUUGAUUACUUGAUUCAAUUUCUCUAGUAUUUCUGUAGCUGAAUAUGACUGUUGUACCUACCUGAAAAACUUAAAACACUGUUUAUUUCAUUUGUAUAUUUAUAUUGUAUUAUUUGUGCUACUAUUUGCAAUUUGUUUAUCUGUUUUUUUUUUUUUAUUUGUUUAAAAGACAACUUGUCUUUUUUGUAAAUUCAGUUUAAAGUUUGAAAUCAAGCUCCUUUGUGCUGUGUGUAAGCUACUGUGCAACAAAAUUACCCCAUUGUAAAAACACAAAUACAUUGAGUGAGCAAACGUUAGGAGAGAUAAUUGUAAUUCAUUUUCCCCACCUGCUCUCCCUCUGUACCCUCCUUAUUUCCUUUCCUAUUUAUUAUUCCCACUGUGUGCUCUGUCUUGUGUCAGAUCGUCAUCAUAUGUUCCCUAUUGUAUCUAGCCUUGCCCUGCUGUUGAACAGUGUUUUCUCCUACGGGGUAGUUUUUGUUUGUUUUUAAUAAAAAGGCCUUUAAACUCUGCAACUAAAGCUGCGCACACACUUAACGAUUGCAAGGCCGAUUAUGAAUGUAAAUUAAUACGUAUGACUGAUCGUGCUCAAACGCGUCUAGUCAGAGCCAGUUGCGUUCAGUCGGCGAUUACAGUCGGUGUUCAAAUUCCGUGUGUAAGUACAUAAAUCUGUUUCAGUCGAAGGAAACAGUCUUUGUGUGUUGUACUCAGUCUUAGAAUGUUUUAGCUAGUUGUUAAAUGUGUCCCAAGCUUCAGUCCUUGCCUCAUCUCUCAACCACACCUGACAGUUCAUCUCAUCGUCUCAGGUUAUUUAGCUUACAUAUUUAUCUUAAUUUGACAGGAAUGGAGAAAGGGCUCUGAGUGUUUUUGCAUUUUCUGACCAGUGAAUUUCCAUUAUUUUCCCAUUACUUUUACAUUUAUGAUCGAUAAUUGCACUGACUAAAGACAUUUCCAUGACUUUUCAAUCACCUUUUUAUGAUUUAAUCAAUUUCCAUGACUUUUCCAGGCCUGUAAAUUACAUUUUUGAAAUUCUCUGGUAUUUCCAGGUUUUCCAGGACCAAUGUGAACCCUGGGUAUGAAGUACAGUCUGUUCAAUAGGGUGUAUCUUAAAGUCACAGGUCAGGUCUGUUUUACACAACCAACAUUUUCUGGAGUUUCUCAUCCACUGGAACUUUAUAAGGAAAGCUCUGGUAACAUGUGUUUUCAUUGUUUUGUUGGCUAAACUAUAAACUAUACAUCAACAUACACAUCAGUCUUGUUUCCACAUCGAAUCAAAUGUGACCCUGGACCACAAAACCAGUCACAAGUCACACGGGUAAAUUUGUAGCAAUAGCCAAAAAUACAUUGUAUGGGUCAAAAUUAUCGAUAUUUCUUUUAUGCCAAAAAUCAUUAGGAUAUUAAGUAAAGAUCAUGUUCCAUGAAGAUAUUUUGUAAAUUUUCUACCGUAAAUAUAUAAAAAAUUUAUUUUUGUGAGUGGAUAUGCAUUGCUGAGGACAAAUUUAAAGGCGAUUUUCUCAAUAUUUUGAUUUUUUUUUUCACCCUCAGAUUACAGAUUUUCAAAUAGUUGUAUCUCGACCAAAUAUUGUCCUAUCCUAACAAACCAUACAUCAAUGGAAAGCUUAUUUAUUCAUAUGAUACAGAAAACCACACAAUUGACAUGAAAUCAAAUCUAUUCUUCCAAACAUCCAAGUCCAAUACCUUUUGAGAACUCUAACUUACCCAAUAUCAAAUUUUACUAAAUCACCAUAUAUCACUUCUCUAAACUUGUGUCCUGCCUUCUCACGUUAAAUAAAGUUCUGCCAAGAAUCACCUACAAAUCAUGAAAAAUCAGCCCCAGAUGUUCAGCCAGCUGCCACGAUCCUGUGCCACCCUCAGAUACACACAGAUGCGAGCUAAAAGAAGGGUUUGUGACUACGUAGGGAACUAAAGGCACUGCUGAGUCUGCUAUGACCAAAAUCUCCUACUUCCCUUUUAACUCUGUGAAGGAGAGAGGAGGAAGGGGAGCUACACAUGAAAAGAGGAAACGUUCAACGGAAGACCAGGGAAGAAAAGCAGACAUUGGCGAGGACAUGCGUAAGAAAAAGCAGAGAUGGAAGGCAAAAACAUAAGUGCUCAAAGUGGGAAAGAGGGAGUGAUCUCUUUUAGCCAGCCUCUCUACGAACACAACGUGAUAUUUCAGUGAUGUAUUCAUGAAAUUGCAUUUGGACACCUUUACAAAUGCCGGAACUAAUCUGGUUUUCCAUAGCAAAGAGUUAAAAGAAUUGUUCGACCCAAAAUGAAUAUUCUGUCAUCAUUUACUCACCCUCAUGUUGUUCCAAACCUGUAUGACUUUCGUUCCUCUGUGGAAUAUAAAAGAAGAUAUUUUGAA